rnacentral:misc_RNA from 1 species
GAUGAAGAACGCAGCGAAAUGCGAUAAGUAAUGUGAAUUGCAGAAUUCAGUGAAUCAUCGAAUCUUUGAACGCACCUUGUGCUCCUUGGUAUUCCGAGGAGCAUGCCUGUUUGAGUGUCAUUAAAUUAUCAACCUCUCCUAGCUUUUCUAUGAGCUAGUGAGAGGCUUGGAUGUGGGGGUUCUUUUGCUGGCUUCAAAGAAUGAGGUCGGCUCCCCUGAAAUGCAUUAGCGGAAUCCCAUGUGAACCGUCUAUUGGUAUGAUAAUUAUCUAUGCCGUUGACGUGACGCACUUUUGUAAUGGGUGUUCAGCUUCUAACAGUCCAUUGAAUUGGACAAUACUUAAAUGACAAUUUGACCUCAAAUCAGGUAGGACUACCCGCUGAACUUAAGCAUAUCAAUAAGCGGAGGA